CACGUAGGGCGCAAGCGUUGUCCGGAAUUAUUGGGCGCAAAGAGCUCGUAGGCGGUCUGUUACGUCUGCUGUGAAAACCCAGGGCUUAACCCUGGGCUUGCAGUGGAUACGGGCAGACUAGAGGCAGGUAGGGGAGAAUGGAAUUCCUGGUGUAGCGGUGAAAUGCGCAGAUAUCAGGAGGAACACCGAUGGCGAAGGCAGGUCUCUGGGCCACUACUGACGCUGAGAAGCGAAAGCAUGGGGAGCGAACAGG
rnacentral:rRNA from 1 species